UACGUAGGGAGCAAGCGUUAUCCGGAAUUACUGGGCGUAAAGGGCGUGUAGGCGGCCAAUUAAGCUAGGUGUAAAAUGUUACAGCUCAACUGUAAACCCGCAUCUAGAACUGGUUGGCUAGAGGAUGAGAGAGGAAAGUGGAAUUCCUAGUGUAGCGGUGGAAUGCGUAGAUAUUAGGAGGAACACCAGUGGCGAAGGCGGCUUUCUGGCUCAUACCUGACGCUGAGGCGCGAACACGUGGGGAGCAAACAGGAUUAGAUACCCUGGUAGUCCACGCCGUAAACGAUGAGUACUAGGUGUAGGAGGCAACAACCUUCUGUGCCGCAGCUAACGCAAUAAGUACUCCGCCUGGGGAGUACGCUCGCAAGAGUGAA
rnacentral:rRNA from 1 species